rnacentral:rRNA from 1 species
CAGGAAAAGCUCCUAAGCUUCAGCUUACGCAGACCGUACCGUAAACCGACACAGGUGGGUAGGAUGAGAAUUCUCAGGCGCUUGAGAGAACUCGGGUGAAGGAACUAGGCAACAUGGCACCGUAACUUCGGGAGAAGGUGCACCCUUUUUGGUGGCUCGUGCGAGCUAUAGCUGAAGAGGGUCGCAGUAACCAGGCCGCUGCGACUGUUUAUCAAAAACACAGCACUCUGCAAACACGAAAGUGGACGUAUAGGGUGUGACGCCUGCCCGGUGCUGGAAGGUUAAUUGAUGGGGUCAGCCGCAAGGCGAAGCUCUUGAUCGAAGCCCC